GACGUAGGGGGCAAGCGUUGUUCGGAAUUACUGGGUGUAAAGGGUUCGUAGGCGGUGUGGCAAGUCGGGAGUGAAAUCUCUGGGCUCAACUCAGAGACUGCUUCCGAAACUGCUGUGCUGGAGUGUGGGAGAGGCGCGUGGAAUUGCAGGUGUAGCGGUGAAAUGCGUAGAUAUCUGCAGGAACACCCGUGGCGAAAGCGGCGCGCUGGACCACUACUGACGCUGAGGAACGAAAGCUAGGGGAGCAAACAGG
rnacentral:rRNA from 1 species